UAAGUUCCGACCUGCACGAAUGGCAUAAUGAUGGCGGCGCUGUCUCCAGCAGAGACUCAGUGAAAUCGAAUUCGCCGUGAAGAUGCGGUGUACCCGCGGCUAGACGGAAAGACCCCAUGAACCUUUACUGUAGCUUUGUAUUGGACUUUGAACAGAUCUGUGUAGGAUAGGUGGGAGGCUUUGAAGCACAGUCGCUAGAUUGUGUGGAGCCGUCCUUGAAAUACCACCCUUGUAUGUUUGAUGUUCUAACAUUGACCCCUUAUCGGGGUUGUGGACAGUGUCUGGUGGGUAGUUUGACUGGGGCGGUCUCCUCCCAAAUAGUAACGGAGGAGCACGAAGGUUAGCUAAUCACGGUCGGACAUCGUGAGGUUAGUGCAAUGGCAUAAGCUAGCUUAACUGCGAGACAGACACGUCGAGCAGGUACGAAAGUAGGUCAUAGUGAUCCGGUGGUUCUGUAUGGGAAAGC
rnacentral:rRNA from 11 species